rnacentral:ncRNA from 1 species
AUAAAGUUUAAUUUUGGCUUAUUAAUUUAUUAUAAAUUUAUUUUAUAUGUAAAUUUUUGUGUGAAUUUUUAUUUAUUUUAAUAGUAAAUAUUUAAUCAUAUUCGCAAUAAUUAAUAUUAUAAAUUAAAGAAAUUUAGAAAUAGUAAUAUUUAAUAGUAUUGAUAAAAUUUGUGCCAGCAAUCGCGGUUAAACAAAUAAUGCAAAUAAAUUUUUUUUGUUUAAGUUAAAUAAUUUUUAUAAAAAUAUAAUUAUAAUUAUUAAGUAAAAUUUUAAUUUUAAAGUAUUUUUUAAUAUAAUAAUUGAAACUUGAAAAUUUUAAUAAUAAACUAGGAUUAGAUACCCUAUUAUUUAAAAUGUUAAAUUGAAAACUAAGGUAGUAUUAGUUAUGUUCUUGAAACUUAAAAAAUUUGGCAGUAUUUUAUUCCAUUCAGAGGAACUUGUUUUAUAAUCGAUAUUCCACGAUGGACCUCACUUAAUUUUGUUAGCAGUUUAUAUACCGUCGUUAUUAGAAAAUUUUAAGAGAAUAUUAAUUUUCAUAAUUUUUAAGAAAAAAAGUAUAUCAGAUCAAGGUGUAGCUUAUAAUUAAGUAAAAAUGAGUUACAAUAAAAAUAUUUAAACGAAUAUAAAUUUGAAAUAUUUAUUGAAGGUGGAUUUGUUAGUAAAAUUAUAAAGAUAAAUAAUUUGAUUAUGGCUCUAAAAUAUGUACAUAUUGCCCGUCACUCUUAUUAUUAAGAUAAGAUAAGUCGUAACAUAGUAGAUGUACUGGAAAGUGUGUCUGGAAUG